GAUGAACGCUGGCGGCGUGCUUAACACAUGCAAGUCGAGCGAAGCACUCCACUGGAUUUCUUCGGAAGGAAGGUGGUUUGACUGAGCGGCGGACGGGUGAGUAACGCGUGGGUAACCUGCCUUACACAGGGGGAUAACAGUUAGAAAUGACUGCUAAUACCGCAUAACCCGCUAGGGCCACAUGGCCUGGACGGAAAAGAUUUUAUCGGUGUAAGAUGGACCCGCGUCUGAUUAGCUAGUUGGUGAGGUAACGGCUCACCAAGGCGACGAUCAGUAGCCGACCUGAGAGGGUGAUCGGCCACAUUGGGACUGAGACACGGCCCAA
rnacentral:rRNA from 1 species